GAAAUGCGAUACGUAGUGUGAAUUGCAGAAUUCCGUGAACCAUCGAAUCUUUGAACGCAUAUUGCGCUCGAGCCUUCGGGCAAGAGCAUGUCUGCCUCAGCGUCGGUUUACACCCUCACAACCCUAUCAUUGUCGAUAGUGCCAAGCUUGCAUGGCUUGCGGUUGUGGAAUUGGCUUCCCCAAUUGGCCCAGUUGUUGAUUGGGUUGGCUGAAGUUGAGAGGCUUAAGCAAGGACCCGUUAUGGGCAUCAACUGGAUAGGUAGUGCCAGCCGCUCGGCUGUCUACACGAAGUUGUUGCUUGUGGACUUUGCUAGGGGCCAGCAGGAAACACGCUUCGUGCGUGCCCUAAACUUUCGACCUGAGCUCAGGCAAGAUUACCCGCUGAACUUAA
rnacentral:misc_RNA from 1 species